AAAGGCAUGAAAUUGGGCAAGGACAGGUUUGCAAACAACCUCAGUUUCGGGAGCUUGGCAAGAUUUUAUUUCAGCCAGAGAAACUCAAACCAAGAGGGACCUUUGCCAAAUGGUCUGGCACCAGGGCAGCCAAUGCAGGGAAUUCAAGGCAAGGGACAUCGAGAGCAGCAAACCCUCCUGCCAGCACCUGCAUGGCUCCCAGGAAUUCCAGGCCCUUGACACUGGUGUCCCACAAGGCUUUUCCCAAUGGAAAGAUCCUCCAGUUCCUCCCAGAGCAACUCCACACAGCAGCCUCCAAGAUGACGAACUGGGAUCUCCAGCUCUGCAGUUCUGAGGGAGCCCAGGGGGUCCUGUCCAUCCCCAGCCCACCCAGGCCAUGGAGCAGCAUCUGGAGCUCCCUCCAGGACAGGGGUCCCUGGGGGUCCAUCCAUGACACUCCUAUCAAUGCCCUUCUCGGUUCAUUUCUUUAACAAAUCUUCCCUUUGCAUCUUGGUGGAAACAGCCUAGAGAUAAUAACAGUAGAUAUGGGUUGACCUAUGGGAUUCCUGGAGUGAUCAAACUGUCAGAUAACAAAAUAAAUAUUUCUCGUGGGCUGGGAUUAAAUCAGA